rnacentral:lncRNA from 1 species
CUGAGGAGUUCAGGCAGCCAAAUUCCCUGUAAAAGAAAUAGGUUUUAUGGAUUCCUUGGCCAUUGUGUUUUCUCUGUAGCCCAAGUUCUGUUUGUCUUGAUUCUUCUUUCUCUCACUACUGGUUGCAUUUUCUGUUCUCUACCAUGAUUUGCAUUGUUUGCUACACUUAGGACCUGCAUGGGCUAUAUCAGUAGGAAGAUUGACUAAGUUCUUCCUGGUGGAAUGGGUUCCUUCCUGCUUAGUGUAUACGUUGAG